GGGCUUUUAUUUCACUAACAGAGCAGCAGUAGUGUCUCCCCACAUCAGUUUUUAUGUGACCUGCUCCAACCAGACAGCAAAACCUGAGAAUUUUUGUCAGAGCAUUAUAUAGAGAUCAACAAUUUACCUAUUGCUACAAUCCUGACCCAAACUUAUCUUAAGAUGGAUGAUUUAACCAGACAAGAAGUGAGGGUGAGUAGAAGCUCCACUGUAAUUAGACAAAACCAAAGGGGAGCUUUAAAGCUUGAGAGGAAAGCCGUCACCUGAAGGCUGCAUGCCUACAAGAGAAUAAAUAAUGGCCUACAUAGGAAGAAAAUGUUUCAUCAUCAUGUUGGUUCUAUUAGUGGGUGAAAGAUUCUUCUAAAGUUCAAAGCCAUAUUCUCCAGUGCUGUAUUUGGUUAACUCCUUUAGUCUGUUCCACAUGGAUCAGGACUUUGGAUUUUGGCAUGGUAGAAGAGUUUCCAAAAAUUUGCCUCAGAAGUGUCAAAAGGUACAUCAGACCUGAUCGCUGAAUAUGCUCCAGCUCCACGGUCUCCCUCAGGCCUCCCAAGGUCCAUCCGUCCUCAGCCUACACAUCCAGCCUUCCCUCCAGUGGAAACCAAGGCAGCAGAGAGAUGGCAGGGGGUAGUUCACAUGCACACAGGUUUUAGCCAUGUGCAAAGUCAGCACAACAGCAUUCUGGUUUAAACAGAGUCAAAGAGUUUUUGCAAAUGACUUAUCCCUCUGAAAAUUCGCUCGAGUACUUCUUCCUCUGUUUAUGCUUAGAGCAUUGCUCUGUCCCACUUAUGUAGAACAUGCUUGUUUCUGUUGCUUACUUAGCAGGCCGGAAUUUGAGAGACAGACUAGAGAAUUUGGCAAAAUCUGAAGUUCUGGAAAUUAAAACAGAAAUGGAAAUUUUUGCAUAUAAUAAUAGAUAGGAAAUCUAAAUUUCAGUUCGGCAAUAAAAGGUAAUUCCUGGAGUUUGC